GAGGGUAUAGCUCAGUGGUAGAGCACAUGCUUAGCAUGCAUGAGGUCCUGGAUUCAAUCCCCAGUACCUCCA
rnacentral:tRNA from 1 species